CCUACGGGGGGCAGCAGUAGGGAAUAUUGCUCAAUGGGGGAAACCCUGAAGCAGCAACGCCGCGUGGAGGAUGAAGGUUUUCGGAUUGUAAACUCCUUUUGUUAGAGAAGAUAAUGACGGUAUCUAACGAAUAAGCACCGGCUAACUCCGUGCCAGCAGCCGCGGUAAUACGGAGGGUGCAAGCGUUACUCGGAAUCACUGGGCGUAAAGGGCGCGUAGGCGGGAUAGCAAGUCAGAUGUGAAAUCCUAUGGCUUAACCAUAGAACUGCAUUUGAAACUGUUAUUCUAGAGUAUGGGAGAGGUAGGUGGAAUUCUUGGUGUAGGGGUAAAAUCCGUAGAGAUCAAGAGGAAUACGCAUUGCGAAGGCGACCUGCUAGAACAUAACUGACGCUGAGGCGCGAAAGCGUGGGGAGCAAACAGGAUUAGAUACCCUAGUAGUC
rnacentral:rRNA from 1 species